UCCUGCGUCAAACGAGCCUCGUGUGCUGCCACCCAUCCAAAACAAGAGACUUCCGGGGGCCUUCGUCUCAAACUUUACCAACUACAAGAUUACAAGCCAUAUUUCUUGCCAGUUGUGGGCUAACUUAAAUUUCCAUGCACUGCUUUCCCAACAGUCUGCUAUAACACAAUUCUUGUUCUGCACCAUGCUGUACAAAUCAGGAAAGAGCAGCUAAAGUGUUCUGCCCAUACACAUUUGUCUUCCCAGCCAAAUUGUCCAUGCAACAAAGAAAGAACUGCCCUCCAAGUCUGCUUGAAUCUCUUAUCUAUGCUCUAUCUUUGUAAAAUAGCGAGUAACACUCUGAAGCUCUGAGGCAUCAUCUAAUUAAAUACUAAAUGUAAGAAAUAUAGUCCAAACCUGCCAUGAAAAGUUGCAAUAUAGCAGUAAGUGGUGUUAGGGAUAUAAUAGAUAUGCCUUAUAUCCAAUAUCAUAUUUGAUGAUUUGAACAUAAUUUUGUGAAAGUUAUUUAAUAUAAAAUAUAUAUGUCAUUUGAUGUACUUUCAUCAUUAUUAUUAAUUGCUUGAUUAAUAAUGAGAAUAUUUUCUUAUAAUUUAAUCUAAAUUUGUUCUUGAUCGUAAGAUUAUUAAUUUGGAUAUUAUUAAUCCGGUUAGAUCAAUAUUUAUGUGUUCGUCUUUAUGGAAUAAUGAUUAGUUGAUCUCAUUAAUUAAAUUACAUAGAUAGAUGAUGCAUAUAGAGAUAUGGUCAUUGAACCGACUCAUUGGGUAAUUCCUAAUUGUUAGAAUUACCAUAAACUGUCAAUAGGAUAUUCUCCUAAAGAAUGUGAUGUAAAAAUUUCCUUUGACCUGAGAUCGUCAUAGUAAUUGACAAGUUAUUUAUUGUGCUUUGAUACUAGACACUUAUGGCCCUAAGGCGAUAGUUGAAAGGAUAUCGGGUACGAUUAAAUACUUAUAGAAUUAGUGAUUGAUCAAGAUGGAAUCUGUCAACUCUUAGUAAUGAGGUUUAAGCUCCAUAUUGUCAUGAAUUAUAAACGAUUAAACUAAAACCUUGGCCGGGGCAAUUGAAUGAAAGAAGAAAAGAGUUUCUUAGGUCAUUCAAUGGUCGAUUAUAUACUUUGAUACUAGACACAUAUGGCCCUAGGACGAUGGUUGAAAGGAUAUUGGGUACGAUUGAAUACUUGUAGAAUUAGUGAUUGAUUAAGAUGGAAUCUGUCAACUCUUAGUAAUGAGUUUAAGCUCCAUGUUGUCAUGAAUUAUAAACGACCAAACUAAGACAUAAGCCAGGGCAAUUGAAUGAAAGAAGAAAAUAGUUUCUUAGGUCAUUCAAUGGUCGAUUAUAUUUGACAUGAACACAUAGUUACUCGCCUAUUAGGAUUUGAUAGUUGAACCAUAUCCUAGGGUGAUCCAGAGCUAUAAGGACAAAAAGAAUUACUACAUUAUUCUUCUACUGGUUCUUGAGAGUAAAUUGUAUAUUUCAUGUUAUCCCGUUGUUAAGGAGUGUUGUUAGACGUCACCCUUGAUUAGUAUAUUGAUGUGGUCAAUUUACUACCGGCUUACUAUUGAACUAAUGGGGUCACACACUAAUGAGUGUUCUGAUCUUUGCUGAAGGAUUAAUUACUUUAAUAUUUAAUAAUUAAAUUAAAGAAUUUAAUUAGUCAAAUAAAUCUAAAUUAUUAGUCCAAAUAAAACAUUAUUAUAUUCUUUGCUAGCACAAAAAAGAUAAUUAAUAUUGAAAAUAAAUUGAAGUUUUCUAUAUGAAAUACUAAUAAAAAAAGUGUAUAAGUUGAAUCCAACUUUGAAUUGGAUCACCUUGGAAGUCCACGUCUGCCACCAGAAUCCCAUUUAGAAUGGAUUCAUAAUUCUCUUUAUAUGGAAGUAUUCUACUCCAUAUGGCUUUGGACUUACACCGUUAAAAGUGAAGUCACUGCCUUAAUUAACCUAUACUUACCCUAUUUGGAAAAGAUUAGUAACAAAGGUAUAUAUAUAUAUAUAUGAAAGCAUCACGCAGGAGGGUAAGAAACAAACGAAAGAAAAGGCCACAAAAUAAGAGAUACGUAGCUGACAAGAAAAUUGUCUUCUUGUCUUGCUACUACUACGCCGAAAGUUUUGAGAAAAUUCUCACCACAGUGUUUUUAUCAAUUUGUUCGCAUGUUUCAUGGCAAAAGGUCGGUCACGGUGUGAAUAUGCAUAAAGUUUUCGCAUUAUUAAAGAAUUUUAAAAUAAGAUUCUCUUCACCAGGUACGUCUCAGAUUUGAUCUUUGACAUAUAAAUAAAUUUUAAACACGAAAAGAUCUUUCUAGAAUGUUUAUUUUCUUCCGCUGCGUGUUACAAACACUUAUAUGCAAUCCUUCAGUGGUAUCAAGCUGUAGUUUAUUGUGUCUAAAAUUUAUUUACGAAAUAUCUAGUAUUAUUUACGAAAAUAACUUGUGCAAUAGUCAAAUCGUUUAAAUGUUGAUAUUAUUUUAUUAUGGAUAAAAUAAAUAUUCAUACAACUAUUGAGAUAGUUCAUAACUUGAAAUACUAAAUGUAAGAAAUAUAGUCCAAACCUGCCAUGAAAAGUUGCAAUAUAGCAGUAAGUGGUGUUAGGGAUAUCUUGAAUCUGAAAUUUUGUAUUAGAUAUGUUGAAGAGUUCAAACCAUAAUACGUGUGUCUUGUGCAAUAGUCAAAUCGUUUGAAUGUUGAUAUUAUUUUAUUAUGGAUAAAAUAAAUAUUCAUACAACUAUUGAGAUAGUUCAUAACUUGAAAUACUAAAUGUAAGAAAUAUAGUCCAAACCUGCCAUGAAAAGUUGCAAUAUAGCAGUAAGUGGUGUUAGGGAUAUAAUAGAU
rnacentral:lncRNA from 1 species